rnacentral:lncRNA from 1 species
GUGACAUACGAGGGGAGUACGUGACAUUCCAAUAGUUACACAUCGGAUAAUGUACGAGGAGAGUAUGUGACAUUCCAAUAGUGGUACAUCGGAUAAUGUGGGAGAGUGUGAUGAAUUUAUAAGUGACGGACACACUAAUAAUAAUAACCGGACUUAAGCAUUUUCGGCCGGUACAACUACUUAUUAUUGAUAGUCGAUCCGACCAUUACAAGCGCUACGU